AAUAUUGAAAAAAAUAUUAAGAAAAAAGUUCUACGAACAUUCAAAAGCAUAUGCGUAUUUUCAUGUAGAACAAUCCUACAAAAGUCGGACGUAAUUGAAAAGCGGUUGAAGGAAUAAAUAGCGGUACCUGAAUAAAACAAAAUCGAAAAAAUUGAGCGUCUAUUUUCGUUCGACUGUUUGAUAGAGAAGAUGGGUAAAAGAGGAAUAUUCGAGACAACACUCGCUGGACUCCCAUCUUCAGCCUCCAUCUUCGGUGGAAGGAUUGCCGAUUAAACCGGACAAAUGAACACAUCUCAACGCAAUCACCAACAACGAACGUAUAUAACGUUUGUUCAGCUUACCCAUGAUAAUGAAUUAAAUUUGAUAAUCAUCACUUCACACACUUGAAUGAUCAUCGUGAAAUUAAUGAUAAGUUUAGUUAUUCUGAUAAGUAGUCAUACUUUUAAUCGUAAAGUUCUUCUAUGCAAUUGAUUCUCAUCCCUCAAGAUACCACCACAGGUGAUGGAGGAAAUCAGUUGCCACUAGACUCGGUAUAAGCUGCUGUACAUCUGGAUGAUCUAGCGGAACUGCCAGGCACUCGACAAUCUCAGCUGAGGUUAUGAGGAUGUGUUACCUUCAAUAAAUCCGAAUCCCAACAAAAUUUCUUUCUCUCGAAAAAAAAAAGUCACAGGUAAUCUAAUACACUGAACGACUCUUUAGUAGCCGGAGCCGGAGAAGAGAUUGGUUACGAUAUUGAUGAUAAUGAUCAGCAAAUUAAUUUCGUAACUGCAUUGAAGACCACAUUUUUGAUACUG